rnacentral:lncRNA from 1 species
CCAGAGCUGAGUCGACACGUGUCCCUCUAUGUCGUGCACAGCCCAGGGUCAGUGCUAGAGAGAAUCACAUGAAAUCUGCUGCUCCCUUUCACUUUAGCAGGGAACAGGGCAUGCUUAAGAAAGGCAGGCAGGUUGGAUUUUUAGGUGUAUAGCACAAAAGUAGAAAAUCAAACAAUGUAAACUGUAGUAAAGUAAGAGAGUCCUUCAUUGUGCAAUGGGGAACCAUUGAGUGUUUUUGAGUGAGGGAAUUAUAUGGUAGGACUGCUUUGCUUUAGCAAAAUUAAUUUUUUAGCAGUGUUUAGAGUGGAUUUCAGAGUGGACUAGGGUAAGUGCUCUAAAGGAGUAGAUACCACAUGCAGCUGAAGCUCAGAGGAAAGGGAGGUGAGCUUUGCCUGGGGGAGUUAGGGAAUGGUUUGUAGAACAUUUGACCUAGGCCUGGAAGGAUGAAUUUGGUGAGUCAGUGAGUGGGGCGGCCAAGAUAUUUCUGGAGGAGAGACUACUGGAGAGCCUUUCUUAUCAGGCUGCUGUGCGAAUGGGCUUGACUAGCAGGCAUGUAUUUAGAUAUCAUCUUGCUUUGAAAGGGAUUUACAACAGCUUAAAAAAAUGUACCACAACAAGAUAAAAUGAAGAAAAAUAAGGAGGUGAUGAAAUAGAGGCAGAGGA